rnacentral:tRNA from 1 species
GGGUGUAUAGCUCAAUGGUAGAGCGGUGGACUCAUAAUCCGCUGGUUACAGGUUCGAAUCCUGUUGCACCCACCA